AUCAUUUGAAUCGUUUCCUGCUGUGAGGAGAGACUCUGAGUGAUGUCCCGAACUGAGGAACUGCUCCUGGUCUGUAUGCUCCGAACAGCUCUGGCACAGGAGAAAAUACCCCUCGUGGUGCCCAGUUCAUGUCCUGGAGGUGGGUGAAACUUCAGUGCCAUCGCUCUCAGUGACCGUGCAGUGCUUUGCUGGGGGCACCUUGUGGCAGGCAGGGCAGAGCCAGGAUCACCUCUCCAGCCCCCAGGUAACCAUCAGGCUCCACCAUCUACAAAGAGUCGAGGGAAGUUUGAAGCCAGGAGCGUGUGGCCUUGCAGGUUGAGCUUGUGAGAGGUCUUUGUCUGCAAUUGUGAAAGUCAAGGAUGAGCAUUGUGAAACUCGGCCUGAACACAGCUGGAACUGUUGCUGACAACACGCUGCAUUUCUGUGAAGCCACCAAAAGUGAAGGAGCAAGGAGGAGUGGAAGCUUAGGAAAAAGGCCCAUGAAGAAGAUUGUGUUUAAUCUUUAUAAAAAGUGAAGACAAGUCCGAGUGAAGUGUUGAAGGUGAUUGGAUGCCUAAAAUUCUUCAAGAAGGAAAGCAACGAUCUGUCAACAACCUCUGACCCUCUUGCUGAGCAGGGCACAGAGCAAUGUGCUUGCCGAGAGGGAACUCGGCUGCAUGGAGACACUUCUUAGAUGCCAGCACCAGAGCUUCGUAAGAACAAACUAGCUGUGCAU
rnacentral:lncRNA from 1 species